AGAAGAAAGCCUGAAUGGGAACACUUGUCACUGCAGAUGCUAGGUUUGAUAUGACAAUGAAAUAAGACAGCAAUGCAGAGACCACUGCAUUUGAGCCUAUCUUAGCUACACAACUCAGUGGCCGAAUGCCUGUCCUUGACCAUCUCAAAGAGCCCUUAAAGAUGGUCAAGUAUCAGGACAAGAACAUGUUUGCUCUUGAAGUUCAUUGUGCAUGCACUGGGAAGAGUCAUUAGAAUCAUCAGAAGGCGCCUUGUGAAGGGGAUACAUUAGGCUGAGUGCACCUAGAACAACACUUCACAAAUGGUGCACCUGAAUCGGACAGCUCUAGGCAACUAACUUGAUACUCUGACAAUGAUUCAGGAAUAUCAUCCAAUCUUCAAAGUCAGUUUCAUUUUAAAAGUGAAGCGAAUUAACUGGAUGGUCACACACUGAUUUUUUGAAUGGAUUCAAUAUCCUGGCCCAGAAUGAUCAACAUUUAAUCUACUAAUGGUUUUAACUUAAGAGAAAUAAACAGCUCAAGGAGUCAUAUGACUGUUUUAGAUGCCCCUUAAUAAUACUUUAAUUGAACUACUUUUAUAAAAAUUUCCUUAUUCUGCUGAGAGCAGAUGGCUGUAUUCUGGAAGCACAUUUAGCUAAUAGUUUCUCUCCCUCCCUCGCUUCCUCUCCCUCUCUCUCUCUCUCUCUCUCUCCUUUCUUCUGAUAGGGAAUAGUUAGUUCAUAUCUGUAUCAAUAUAUGCCAGCCCAGGGCCAACUCCAAAAGUAAAUGGGAUAUUUGGCCCAGGGGUCGGGGAGCCAACAAAACAGCAGCUGAAAGUCUCUUGCUGUUGCCUAGUAACUAAUACACAUCCCUUUGCCUUGGCUCAGCAAAAUUGCCAAAUCAGAUUCAACUUGGAUAUCACAAGCCACUGCACACCUCACCAUGACAGUGUCUGCAACAAGGCAAGAAAGGAAGCAUCUUGUCAAGCGAAAGGCACAUCGCCUGCACCCCCCCACCCGCCGGGAUGUCCCAGCACUCUCUGUGCAGGGAUUGCCAUUUGGAUUUUCUGCUUCAGGAAUAAAAAUGUCUUGGGCCUUCUCCUGUCCUGAACUUUGACAUUGGCUCACUAUCCAUGAUACUGAACUUGGCUCCCACCUUCAUGUCACAACAAUCACAUCCCUACAGGCAGUGAAAAGGAUGGAUUCCAUCAAACUAACCGGUUUGCUAGCCACAUGCCCACUGUGAAAUGGAUCAUAGCCUGUCAAGCAGACUCCUGGCUAAUGCAUUGGGACUUUUGGAGCAAAUAGGUGUCUACAGUAGUUUCAUGAAUGUUGUUAAAAAUGCCUUCAAGUCAUAAACUGUCCAAUUUGUCUUC